UCAGUAUUAAUUUCUUAGUAUGAUGGUUACGUGAUGUAUAGCUUUAAAGGAUGUUGGGUGAAUGAUGUAUAGGAAAUCUCUGUACUUUGUCAUGACUUUUCUUUAAGCCUAAAAUUAUUUCAAAAUGAACAGUUAAAAAUCUGCUAUGAGGCGUUCCCAUUGUGGUUCAUCGGGUUAAGGACCCAACAUUGUCUCUGUGAGGAUAUGGGUUCGAUCCCUGGCCUCGAUCAGUGGGUUUCGGAUCUGGCAUUGCCACAGCUAUGGCAUAAGUCUGAUCUGGUGUUGCUGUGGCUGUGGGUGUAGGCUGGCAGAUGCAGCUCCAAUUCAUCCCCUAGGCCAGGAACUUCUGUGUGCCACAGGUACAGCCAUAAAAAGAAAAAAAAUUUUUUUAAUUAAAAAAAUCUGCUAUGAUAUUAGAUUCCAUUGGUUAUAUUGAAAGGGUGACAUGAUACUUUAAUUUAAAUGACAUUAUUUGCAGUUUCCAUCAUGGCUCAAUGGUAACAAACCCAACUUGUACCCAUGAGGGUGCGGCUUCAAUCCCUGGCCUUGCUCAUGGGUUAAGGAUCUGGCACUACUGUGAGCUGUGAUGUACAGACAUGACAUGACUCAGCUCCUGAUGGGGCGGGGGAAUAGGCUGCCAGCCACAGCUCUGAUUCAACUCCUAGCCUGGAACAUUCAUAUGCUGCAAGUGCAGCCCUAAAAAAGCAAAAAAUAAAUAAAUAAAAUAAUGCCAUUAUUUAUAAUGUGAUGAAAACUGCAUUCUAAUUGUAAAAAUUUUAGAUGUCAAAUUAGAAAUGUAUGAAGGGGGUCACUUUUCUGUACAGCAGAAAUUGGCACAACAGUUUAAAAUCAACUAUAAUUUUUAAAAAUAAAAUGAAUGAAAUAUAAAAAAAAUUGUAAAUGUGUGAAGGGAUAUACACUUGUUUUCAAAAUUAUUUUAAGACAUUUGCAAGCAAAAACAUUUGAGGACCACUGCUCUAUGACAGCCUUUCUCUCCUGUCUCAAAUGAGAAGAAGGCAAAAACCCAGCUCUUCUUCAAUCUAACAGCCCACCCACUGGAGGAUUUGGAUGAAUCCGUCUUGUCAUCACCCACAUUUACUUCUAUUUGCUUUCUUGCCUCUACACUCUUCUUGUAUUUCACCUCCCAAGCACUUUUAAUCCUCUUACUCCUGCUUAUCCAGUUCAACCUCAUGGCUUAGUCUUCAUGGUAGACAGGGUACAGAAGGGGAAAAAAACAAAGCUUGUUUUGUUUCCUCUUUGUUCUUAGGGAACAAAAACUGGGAGAUAUUUCAGAAUGUUACAUCCAUCCUAAUUCUCAUUGCCAACAUUUUUAGAAAGUUUGUGGUGAUUAUUAUGAUACAUGAUGAGAAUCGUUAUUUCUCUUCCUCGACCCCCUCAAAACAGUGAUACAGAACAAUGAUGGGCAGGGCUAAAUCCAGCCUGCUGUCUGUUUCUGUAAAUAAAAUUAUUGGAACACAGCCAUCCUCCUUCAUUCACCCACUGUGUAUGAUCAGGCUACAACAACAGAGCUGAGUGGUCAUAACACAGAGUAAAUGGCCAGCAAACCCUAUGAUAUUUACCAUCUCAUGUUUUAUAGGAAAAGUGUGCCAACCGCUGAUUCAAAGAAUAAACACCUAGAUGGGAAGUCUAACAUCCUUUGACAUGUCUUAUAAGCACUAUUAUAUAAAUGGACAGCACUUCAGUGUAUCAGUAAGCAAUUCAGAUUGGUAAACAUUUAUUGAGAGCCUACUGUGGGCCAGAAAGGGCCCUAGGUGCUGGAGCUGGUGAUAUGAAUAAAACCCCAUCUCGAUGCUCAUGAUGUCUCAGAGGAAGAGGAAUAUAUAAAUAGUAAGUGUAAUACAAUGUGGUAUUACAUAAUAUUAUUACCUAAUACCAGGAUGAAAAUAUCAGAAAAAAUGGGGUACUGAUUAAUUCUGUCAGGUAGAGAAAGAGGCUUAACAGAAAGCAAUGCCUAUUAAAUAGUAAGAAAUUUUAGAUAAAACAGAUUUCUUUGAUAUUUUUUGAGUUAGAAAGUUUUUAGUUUGAGUCCAAUAAUGAAGAAAAGAUAGACCUAAUUUACAUAUAUGUAAGUUUAGAAUCCUCAGAAAAAACUCACAAGAAUGGAACACAGUAUUUAUACUUUAUACUAUGUAUAUCUUUAUACUAUGGCUUAAUCCAUUUAAAGCUAAAUUGUUUCAUAGUUAUUCCUAGUUAUUACUAGAGUGGAAUGGAAAGGGGAAAUAAAUAUGCAUUGCUGAUCAUACUAUGGUAUUAACAUUUACUUCCAUAAACAACUUCAGUCUACAAUCUAUAUUACAUCAUGUGUUAUAUGAGCAACACAAUUGUCACAUGCCAUGGAUUGCUUUUAAUUCUUAGGCAUAAAAAUAAUGGCUUAUGCAAAAAAAACCUAAAGCUUUUAUAACUGAACAUUAGAAAUAAAAAGUUUUAAUUUAAAAGUUAUAUCUAUUUUAAAACAUUGACUUAGCCAUUCAGGGUUCCCUAAAGCCUGAUGAAAGUUUUGGUAUCUUGAAUAAUUUACAGCAAUUUACAGCAUUUAGAAUUUUAUCUCCAAAGUUUAACUAAUUAAUUAAUUUAUUUGUUUGUUUAUUUAUUUAUUUAUUUAUUUUUGUCUCUUUGCCUUUUCUAGGGCCGCAUCUGCUGCAUGAGGAGGUUCCCAGGCUAGGGGUCUAAUCAAAGCUGUAGCUGCCGACCUAUGCCAGAGAUACAGCAACUCAGGAUCCGAGCCGCAUCUCACGGCAACGCCAGAUCCUUAGCCCACUGAGUGAGGCCAGGGACGGAAACCCUCAUGGUUCCUAGCUGGAUUCAUUAACCACUGAGCCACAACGGGAACUCCAUAUCUCCGAUGUUUAAAACUCAAAAAAAAAAAAAAAAGACUGAAAACUCAGACUUAUUAAUUUUUAUGUUGUAAAAUUUGAAGUGCAAUAGUAUGCAGUUUUAAAAAUUCAGCGAUGAUACUCAGGCUUACAUGAAAAGUCAAUAUUUUAGGCAUACUUAUAAAUAUGUUGAACCAUACAUUUUAUUUCUUAACUCAAUUCCAUUAGUAUUGUUGCAUUUUAAACUUUUUUAGAGAAAAAUAACAAAAGUGCCUAAAUCUGAAAUGCUAGAUAAAAAGGUGAAAACCUGCAUGUGUUUAUAGUGCCUAAUGAAGAAUUCUAAUUGCAGAAGAAAAAUCUAUAACUAAAACCACAAAAUGAGUACUAUGUAUACCAGUGACCUUCUUUAUUCAGAGUUAAUUAACACAAGCACUUGCUUCUUGCAGAGCACUUUGCUAUAAUUUAGAACAAAUUAAGGGAAAAAAUCAUUCAAGUGCUGUUUUCUUCACACCAUGAAGUAAGCAUGAUGGGCCAAAGUUAACUCAUUUAAAACACUGUCAUCCUUUUCUUGUAAUUAUGAGUAGUAAUACCAUUUUUUUUUUUUGCAAAGAAAAAAAAAUCUAUGCUAUUUUCAAUUUGUUUCCUGGGCUAUUUAAUAAUGGAAACUGAUUUUUAAAACUAAUACAGAAAUGCUCUUUUCCAUUUAUCUCAUUAAAUCUCUCAUUUACAUUAAAUUUAAGCAUUAUAUAUUAUCCUGGCUAUUUUUCAAAUAUAUUUUGAAUGUAUUAUGACAAAUUAUUAAAGUACAAUUCUAAUGGUUUCUCCUGCCCCCCUCCCCCAACACUGAAAUUGUGACCUUAUUAUUGUUUUCAUUGGGUAGCUUAUGAAUUAACCUGAGAUACUUCAGUCCAAAUCUAUGAGGUCAUGUCCCCAGGAGGUUGUUUAAACUUUACUCUUCACCUUCUCAGACAAUAAAGCUUAGCAGGAGUUGGAAGCCCAACUGAAAGACGUAGGAAUCAGCAGGACCCUUAGACCCUUGUAGACUUUGGUUAGAGGCGAGAACCCUGAACCAGAAGGCAGAAUCAGGGAAAACUCCCUGAAAGGACUAGGGAGGAUGGGGAUUUAGAAAGUGUUACCUCAUGUGAGAGCUUUGGAGUUCUCGAUUUGAAAUUCGAUUCUGUGGAGACUAAGCAGAAAUUUGUUCCAGACUGAGCAUCCCUGAACAGAUGUAUUGUUUAUCCAGGCUAUCAGCACUCACAGACUUCAAGCAAGGGCUCCUCUGGUCCCACACAAAUUGUUUUAUUGCUAUUUCGUUCCCCCAUGACACCUAGAGAUGCAUCUCUGCUCCCUGCCCAACAGAGGGUGCCUCUGAGUGAAUCAGUGCCUCCUGGAGACAGGGAAGGAUCAAGGAACUUGGUGACCCUGGCACUCAGUAGAAACUCCGUGGAACUGGUCCUGCAACUUAAAUUUCCCAAGGGAACUUUAGAGAGAAAAGAGAGAGACUGAGCAAGAAAGCCAAUUUGUUUGUUUUGCUUUUAAAGGAUAAUCUGUAAUUCCCUAUUAGUAAAUUUCAUGUUACAUUUUAAUAAUAAACUAUUUUUGUCAGAGUUCCCAU
ensembl:lncRNA